rnacentral:rRNA from 1 species
CCUACGGGUGGCAGCAGUGAGGAAUAUUGGUCAAUGGGCGGGAGCCUGAACCAGCCAAGUCGCGUGAGGGAAGACGGUCCUACGGAUUGUAAACCUCUUUAGUCGGGGAGCAAUGCCGGGCUCGUGUGCCCGGAGGGAGAGUACCCGCAGAAUAAGCAUCGGCUAACUCCGUGCCAGCAGCGGCGGUAAUACGGAGGAUGCGAGCGUUAUCCGGAUUUAUUGGGUUAAAAGGGUGCGUAGGCGGAUGUUUAAGUCAGCGGUAAAAUGGCGGGGCCCAACCCGGGCCGGCCGUUGAAACUGGGGAUCUUGAGUGGGCGAGAAGUAUGCGGAAUGCGUGGUGUAGCGGUGAAAUGCAAAGAUAUCACGCAGAACUCCGAUUGCGAAGGCAGCAUACCGGCGCCCGACUGACGCUGAGGCACGAAAGCGUGGGGAUCGAACAGGAUUAGAUACCCGGGUAGUC